ACGAACGCUGGCGGCGUGGAUAAGACAUGCAAGUCGAACGGGAGAAUUGCUAGCUUGCUAAUAAUUCUCUAGUGGCGCACGGGUGAGUAACACGUGAGUAACCUGCCUCUUAGUGGGGGAUAGCCCUGGGAAACCGGGAUUAAUACCGCAUACGAUUGAAAGAUCAAAGCAGCAAUGCGCUAGGAGAUGGGCUCGCGGCCUAUUAGUUAGUUGGUGAGGUAACGGCUCACCAAGGCGAUGACGGGUAGCCGGUCUGAGAGGAUGUCCGGCCACACUGGAACUGAGACACGGUCCAGACACCUACGGGUGGCAGCAGUCGAGAAUCAUUCACAAUGGGGGCAACCCUGAUGGUGCGACGCCGCGUGGGGGAAUGAAGGUCUUCGGAUUGUAAACCCCUGUCAUGUGGGAGCAAAUUAAAAAGAUAGUACCACAAGAGGAAGAGACGGCUAACUCUGUGCCAGCAGCCGCGGUAAUACAGAGGUCUCAAGCGUUGUUCGGAAUCACUGGGCGUAAAGCGUGCGUAGGCUGUUUCGUAAGUCGUGUGUGAAAGGCAGGGGCUCAACCCCUGGAUUGCACAUGAUACUGCGAGACUAGAGUAAUGGAGGGGGAACCGGAAUUCUCGGUGUAGCAGUGAAAUGCGUAGAUAUCGAGAGGAACACUCGUGGCGAAGGCGGGUUCCUGGACAUUAACUGACGCUGAGGCACGAAGGCCAGGGGAGCGAAAGGGAUUAGAUACCCCUGUAGUCCUGGCAGUAAACGGUGCACGCUUGGUGUGCGGGGAAUCGACCCCCUGCGUGCCGGAGCUAACGCGUUAAGCGUGCCGCCUGGGGAGUACGGUCGCAAGAUUAAAACUCAAAGAAAUUGACGGGGACCCGCACAAGCGGUGGAGUAUGUGGCUUAAUUCGAUGCAACGCGAAGAACCUUACCUGGGCUUGACAUGUAAUGAACAACAUGUGAAAGCAUGCGACUCUUCGGAGGCGUUACACAGGUGCUGCAUGGCCGUCGUCAGCUCGUGUCGUGAGAUGUUUGGUUAAGUCCAGCAACGAGCGCAACCCCUGUUGCCAGUUACCAGCACGUCAAGGUGGGGACUCUGGCGAGACUGCCCAGAUCAACUGGGAGGAAGGUGGGGACGACGUCAGGUCAGUAUGGCCCUUAUGCCCAGGGCUGCACACGUACUACAAUGCCCAGUACAGAGGGGGCCGAAGCCGCGAGGCGGAGGAAAUCCUGAAAACUGGGCCCAGUUCGGACUGUAGGCUGCAACCCGCCUACACGAAGCCGGAAUCGCUAGUAGUGGCGCAUCAGCUACGGCGCCGUGAAUACGUUCCCGGGUCUUGUACACACCGCCCGUCACAUCAUGGAAGCCGGUCGCACCCGAAGUAUCUGAAGCCAACCGCAAGGAGGCAGGGUCCUAAGGUGAGACUGGUAACUGGGAUG
rnacentral:rRNA from 1 species